UCUCCGUUGGUGAACCAGCGGAGGGAUCAUUAUCGAGUUUAUAACUCCCAAACCCUACGUGAACUUACCACUUGUUGCUUCGGCGCGCGCUUCGGCGCCGCCGAGGACACUUAAACUCUUUGUUUUUAUAAGCAUUUCUGAGUGGCCGAAAGGCAAAAUACAAAUGAAUCAAAACUCUCAACAACGGAUCUCUUGGUUCUG
rnacentral:misc_RNA from 1 species